AAGGGGGCUGACUUCGUUUCCAUUCCAAAACCCGCAGCAGCGGCUGGGAGGCUGCAAUAGGCUGAAGCGGCUGCGCCUUGUGUUUGUGCAGUUAGGGGCUAAACCCUCCUUUUCUUUACAGUAAGAAGUUACCCUCCAGCUCAGAGCAAUGCCAGUGUGGGUACAGUUUGUGUUCGUUUUAGCAGCUUGGAAAGGUGUCCAGUCCCAGGUGCAGCUGGUGGAGUCCGGGGGGGCUGUUAGAAAUGAAGGGGAGUCCAUCCGGCUCUCCUGCAAGGGCUCCGGUUUCACCUUCAGCAGCUACGAUAUGUUCUGGUAUUGGAAGAGCCCCGGGAAAAGCCCGGAGUUUGUCUCACGUAUUUACUACGACGGGACUGGCAUAAGUUACGCGUCUUGGGUCCAAGGGCGAUUCACCAUCUCCAGAGACAACGCCAAGAGCGAGCUGUACCUGGAAAUGAGCCGCCUGAGACGGGAGGACACCGCCCGGUAUCACUGCGCUGCUAGAAACGCACAGUGCAGCGAAGCUGGUGUGAGCUGA